AUAAACCUAAACACUGAGUUUUGAUAUUUUUAUGCCAAACGACCAUUAUGCCAAACGGACAUUAUGCCAAACGGCCAUUAUGCCAAAUGACCAUUAUGCCAAAUGACCAUUAUGCCAAGUGAUUUUAUGCCAAAUGGCGUUAUGCCAAAUGGCGUUAUGCCGAACGGCUUUAUGCCAAAUGACUUUAGGCCAAACGGCGUAGGACCAUCAACAAUUGUAAAGGUUACCAAGAAAUUCGAAAAAAAAAUCCACAUAUCAGGAACUGUUUACGAAGUACGGAAUACGGAAAAAGACAAAAAUGUUAUCCAAUUUGUAAAAGAAGCUAAAUUUGGACUUAUUCAGUUUGUAAUGUACACCUUCGUAAUCCAACUUAAAAAGAAACGAAUUCCCCAGCAGUGGUGAAGUGUCUAAUAAAAUUAAUAAUAUGUAAGAAAAAGUAGAACAUAAAGAACUAGUCUCCUUUCGGUGCAAACCUCUAAAAAAAGGUUGUAAUUCAGAAACCCUUCGAAUUAUUGCUAAGGUAAUCCGUUCAGAAUAACAAGCGCCAUUAUUACAGACAACGCAAAAGACAACUUAAUACAAGCAUAUAAGUGCAUUUUUGCUUUUUUAGUUCACCGAAUUCAUGUUUCGAGCAUGUUCAUUAGAAUUUUUUUAUCAUCCGUUUUUCUCAACUAGGUAUUUCCAAACCAACCGAAGUAUUCGUUGUCCAGGAGAGUAAACUUGAUGUUUCCUGGUGCACCAUUAUCCUUUCCCGGCUAAUGCAUCUCUUGAUCCACCCUCUAAAUAAAUGUCGUAUGGCAAUGGGCCCACGCUUAGUAUCAUGUCUCAGAUGAAGCGCGAUUACAAUUGGCCAUUUCAAAGAAGAUUAUUCUGAUAUGGAAUAACGGCCAAGAUAACGGUUCGGUAGUGACUUUAAUAGCUUCCUAAAUGCAUUCAGUAUGAUAGAUUCUCCUCUUCAUUGUAGUAGUUCAUCGCUUCUAUUAUUUAUUUACAUGGUGUUCCGUCUCACAACGUAACCUGAUGAACAAUAUUCCUCCAAUUCACUGGGCCCAUGGCAACCGUUUCGGGCAUCCCACAUCCACUUGGUCUAACCACCUCGCUCGUUGCGCCCCUGCUCGUCUCGUUCCUAGCGGAUAAGCAGCGAAUACCUGCUUUGCAGGACGGUCGCCCGGCAUUCUCGCAACAUUUCCUGCCCAGCGUAUCCUCCCAGCCUUCGCCGUCUCCUGGAUACUGGGUUCGCCGUAGAGUCGCGCGAGCUCGUGGUUCAUCCUUCUAUUUGUCGUGAUUUCAAUUCCGAACAAUUGUUCGACCGCCGAUUUAGUCUAGCGUAUAGGCUGGUGCGAGUCUGGUUUUGGUAUGCCAGGCGUACUGGGUUCAAUUCCCGCUAUCGGCAAGAAAAACUUUUGGGUUCGAGUCCCAUAAGUGGCCGACAGGUAGGAUGUGUUUUCUAAUAUAAUUGCCUAUAUAAUAAGAAUGUUCAAUCAGUUGCCAGCUGGCCAGGUAUAUAGACGAAUGCCGGAAUACCUGUAAGUAAACUAGCCCACCUGGUUGAUUCGUUUUUCCUAAAUAAACCUACAUCAACACAAUACAUUCAUCCAUAACAGUUCAUACGAAGCCAUGGAGUCCGGGUAUGUUGUACGCGUUACAUUGGAUAUUUGUCGAACUUAAUCUAAAAAUGUAUGUGAGCACAUACUUAUACAGAAAUUGCGGUGAAUCCGUGCACCCAUGGUGGAUAACCAACAUACAUACAUAUACAUACAUUUAAAUUCCGAACAAUUGUUUGGGUUUCCUAUAGGUAUUUUGCCAUCAAUUUGGGAGCUAAGCUGCAAAGCAACUGUCGACCGGUGUCUAGCUCGUUUUCGGGUCCAAAAAAAAAAAAUAAGUUCACAUAAUAACUGUUUGGGUUCACUGAUUACAGAUGUGUUGCUUGAUUUGCACUUGCACUCCUUGCCUUGCCUCAAUAGCAUUACAUCAGCAUAAAAAAAUUUCAAGCCACUGAAUAUGUAGGUAUAAAUGAACUGAUUGUAAAUUUUACCUGAAAUUAAACGUAAACAGCUAACCGUUACACUUUUGAUCGCAGCUAUACCGAUAACAGCAUCGGAUGGAUCGACUGGAAAUCGAGUAGUCCAGUAAAGCCAUCCUGAUUCGUGGUAGUUCGUUUUUUAAUACUGCCACUUUUGGCAUGAAUCUUCUUAAUCAUUCAAUUGGCCCACGUUCGGUAGCAGGCCUUGCUGAUAGUUUGCAUCGCUUUGCGAUGGUUAGCUGUUUCACAAUCCGAACAGGAAAUCAUUUUUGUUCAAAAUUCCCAGUGUCUGCAAUAAAAUUGAAAGAGAUUAGUUUCCGGAGAAGAGUAUUGCAGAUUAAAGUUUAAUUAUUACCUGAAAUCACUAGGACAGUUUCCAGUUCGGAGAUGAAGAAACGUCUUGGUUACUUUUGUUGGGUAGAUAUCGAGAAAUUGGGUUGGGACAAGUUGCCACAUUUUGAAGUUGGCGCCUUGAAACCCAAAAAAACUCGGUCGCCGGUUCGCCACGAUUUGGAUAGCCCUUAUAGCAAUUCCGGCUAAUUAAGUUAGGUUAUUUGCACUACCAGAGCUAUGAGUGCCUAGAUUACAAAGACUGGUAGGCUGGGAUGUGCGACCAAAUCGUUCAAACGUUGCUCCGAAUGCCAACUCCAUGCUGUAGACCUUGUAUGUUACCGGCACUCAGUCAACGCAUCUGGAUCGGAACAAGUACGAAGCUUUUCUCGCUUCCGACGUCCUGCUAUUAUUAUACAUCAGUCAUCACACGAAUUACCGGAGCAUUCUGCGUUACUCACAAUCCUAUUUGAAAUGCCUUUCCCGCAAUAUUCCGAAUCAAAAAGAAACGCCAUUUGAGAUAAAAUACCUCAUCUAGUCCCGAAAGAUAGAGGAAAAUACGCGUACGGAAUUGACCAAAGUCAAUGUUAUGAACACAGUAAAACAAAAUCGAUAUCAAAACAUUUGUCAUUUGUCUGACGUUUUGUAGAACGACUGCGUGCAUUUUGCAGGAUGCCAUAGUCAGUACUAAAAUUUAUUAGAACACUUGCAGGAUGGCAACGAUCAGUACUAAAUAUAUUAACAACGCUUGCAGGAUGGUGUGGAUUUUUGGGUUAAUUCAUCCUGCAAACAAGCUAAAUCCGAGCUGCGCUGAGCGAGCGUGUACAUUUUUCAGCACGGUUUAGUACAUACACACGUCAUCCUGCAUGCGGUGACAGCUGCUGAUAGUCAUUUUGUUUGUGAACAAAAUGUUUUGCUUCGCAUACACACCAUUUCACUAUAGUGUAUGUUUUUUUGGCUGCUGAAAUUUGAAUGCUUUCAAAUUUUUCUGCUCCCGUGAUGGAUUUUCUGCAUCGGGUUGUGCCGGUGGUAGAAACUCAGCCCUUCAGGUCUGAGCCCUUAUUAUUCAGCCUUUCGAUGCGAUUCAAACGAUGUGUGGGUGCCGGGAUCAAAUCUUCGGAUAUCGUGCAUCAGCUACAAUAUUUUAUUCAGCUUUCGGUACGAGUCUCAGGUGACAUGGUGCUGAACGCUGCGUGGCGAUGGGUGAUGAAUAAAACAAAUAUGCACUGGUGAAGGCCCAAUUGGAAAUGCACUUUCAAACACUAAGUGCAUCUAAUCAGAUGAAAUGUUUAGGUUCUGGUCAGCUGAAUUACAAUCCGGAUUUUCUCGAUUUUGAAAGAAUGCCUGCCGAAAGCACGCAGCUCCUUGCAUCCUGCAUCAUCCAUAGGAUAAGAGGAGAUCCAAUAAUGGAUCGCAUGAUAGCGCCGGUCCGCAGGAAUCGACCGAAUAGUUUACCGGAGGAACACAAGGAACCUUGCAUAGCAAAACGAAGAUCAGCAACAUGCCAAAGGAGCUUCGUGGAUGACACUAUCGCGAAAUCACCUGCCGGUAGGAUUCUGCCCAACAACAAACUCCAAAUAAACGGUUAGGAAGGGGAGCGUCCGCUGUACCAAACCGGCCUACCAUGUAUUGGAAAACCUAAACAAAAUUGAAGAAAAAAGAAUGCACGGAUCGUCGCGAUAGGCUUUAAAGGGCACGCCUCCAGAGCAGUGCAUAAGUAUCAGGUCAUCUAAGAAUUCCUGUAUCAGAUAUUCUAGGACGAUGGAAACCUUGUUCAUGCAUUCCAAAGGAUGCUGAUGGUACCCCGUACCCACCGGCUUAUGAUAUGCAUACUGCUAAUCCCUUUCUGGAGCAUCAACUUUAGACUGGCUGCCACGACGCCGGAACGCUAAGGAAUAGUUUAUCGAAUUGAACUUAAUGCAGUUUAUUGUUUUAAUGGAAACGAAAAAACAAAUCUUUUCAAAACGAAAGCCUCAAAACUGCCCUAAAGUAAUAAAAAGUUGCUUACAAAUUGUAUUAAAAUAACUUACUGCUCUUCAUCAUGAUGAACACUAAGAUUUGAAAGCUUGAUAACUCUUCCGUAAUGGCUUACAUGAAACAGUUUUCUGUUGAACACGAUCAAGAGGUUUGUUCUUAUAUCGGUUGGAAAAUGUUAAACCACGUAAAAUCUUUGUGUAUCAACUAACAAAGCAUUUUCCAAAAUUCAGAGAUGUAGGUAUGUGCGUAUAAAGAACCAGUUUGCUUUUCGAUGCUAACCUUUAAAAGAAAAUUAUUCAAUUUAGCCACCCUUUGAACAAGGUAACCCGCUGGGGAAAGCAAUCGACAAUAUUAGAGACAACGCAAUGGAGUACAUUUUCAGAUCUUCGUUUAUGAGAAUAUUUGGUACUGACGUUUGUCGUGACGGGUUUUGCGUCCAGAACUCAUUCCACCGAUGAACUAGUGUUUCUGGCAUGUUGACUAUACGGAAGCUUACAAGGCUGGUCUUCAUCCGCACAGGACUAGAACUUUCGAUAUUUUCUUUUUUCAACUAUUUCAAAACCAGCCGCAGCAUUUGUCGGCCAGGAGAGCAAACUUGAAGUUUCCUGGUGCUUCAUUAUACUUUUCCUGUGUAUGCCUAUCUUGAUCCAAGUAAACCCUCUAAAGGAAUGGCAUAUGGCAAUGGGCCACGCUCAGUACCAUGCCUCAGAUGAAGCGCAAUCACGAUUGGCUAUUUCCAAGAAGAUUAUUCUGCAAUGAAACAGCCAAGAUAACGGUUCGAGGGUAGCUUCCUGAAUGCAUUCAGUAUCAUAGAAUCUCCAUGCACCACAUUGUAGUAGAUCAUCGCUUCUAUUUGUCGUUAUUCGAAUUCUGACCAGUUGUUUGGGCUUCUCAGGUAUUGCAAAUAAUCGAUCCGUAUUUCGCCACCAAUUUGGGAGAUAAGCAGCAAAGCACCUGUCGACCGGUCUCAGCUUUCGGAUGGUUUGUUUUGGGACCCUAAAAAUAAAGAUUACAUUAAUUCUGUUCGGGUUCACUGAUUACAGACUUGAUGCUUGAUUUUGAUUGGGAGAUUCAAGUGCCAAAAAACUUGGAUUCAAGUGAAGCAUUCCAAAUGAUUUUCAAUAUAUUUUAAUUUGUUUGUAUUUUGUUUGAGUUUAUUUUAAUGACAAUUAUUUAGAAAUGGCGCUCCCUUUCCGAAGACAGUUUUCUAACUCUUGCAUCAGGAAUUUUAAGCUAAUGAAUCAGGUAUAAAUGUUUUAAAUUUUACCUGGAGUUAAACGUCAACCGGACGUCCGGAUAAGCGUAGUACCUACUUUUGAUCGCAGCUGCACCGAUAACAUCGUUUCGGAUGGAUCGACCGAAAAUCGAGUAAUCCGGGAAAGCAAUCUUGAUUCGCGGUAGUUCCUUUUUCAACACUGCCACUCCUGGCAUGAAUAUUAUCAUUCAUGCAAUCGGAUCGCAUUCGGUAGCAGGCCUCGGUGAUCUUUUGCAUCGCCGUGCGGUCUAUAUUUACAGAGGUAUGCCUAUCUGUUUCAAAAUUCGAACAGGAAAAUGUCUGCAAGAAAAUUCAAAUAUAUAAGUUUCCGGAAAAGAGUAUUACAGAUAAAAGUUUAAUUCAAACCUGGAAAUUAAUUUUUCGGAAGCAAAUUGACCAAAGCCAAUAUUACGAAAUCGACAGUAAAAGAAAUCGAAAUCAAAACAUUUUUCUGACGUUUUCAAGAACGGCUGCGUGCAUUUUGCAGGAUGGCAUGGUCAGUACUAAAAUUAUUAGAACAUUUGCAGGAUGGCAACGAUCAGUACUAAAAAAAUUAAGAACGCUUAUGCUGGAUUGUGUGGAUUUGUGGGUUAAUUCAUCCGGCGCCAUCCUGCAAACCAGCGAAAUCCUAGUUAAACCGAGUAAGCGUGUACAAUUUUCAGUACGUUUUAGUACACACAUGCCAUCCUGCAUGGGGUGACAGCUAGAAUUUGUUUGUUAUCAUUGUUUUGCUUCCAUUUUAAAUUGCACUUUAAAACUCUUUGAAAAAUCUAGUAAACGAUAGUUAUAAUAUCCGUCGCGAUUUCGUGCGGUGUCGAAGCCACCAGUUUAUCAACAAAUUCGUGCGUCCAAUAAGAAAACCAUUUUACCGUUCAAAAAUGCCUUGGUGUUCAACGCUUCGCUCAGUGCUACCGGUUCCCCCCAUCCGAUGAGAUUCCGGCACCAGCACCGGCGAAGCAAGAAGGUGCGGUGCAUUCAUUAAAGAUUAAACUAGCUUCCAAAAUUCAAUCAUCGCAAAACUACCCGAAAACAGAAUCUCGAACAACAAACCCUUCCUAUAACACGACCACGGAAAGUUCCUGCUGCAUGAACCUCAAUACACCGAUGAUGAUGAAGAGAUGCCAAUGCGUCCGGGUUCGAAACUUCCAAGAAGGCUCUGCCCGGGGCCAGCUCCGAGUCGGAAUUCAAUUCGGUUCCGAAACCAGAUGACUUCCGUUAGAUGACAUGGUUCCGGGAGUUCAAAGAAGGCCAAAAUGCUCCGCUCGGCAGGAGUGUCGGAAAUUGGGAACAGCACAUCAAAAAAAUCGGUGCCAAGCAUAGAUUUGCAGUGUAUUGCAGCUCCGAUGCAGGCUCACCUGAGCUGGUCAACUGUAACACUUGCGAAUUUCUGAAAUCCUAAAUUCUGAAAGCUGAAACAUGAAAGAUGAAAUUUGAGUGAGUUAGGUUCAGGUUCAGCUUCAGGUUCAACUACCCGGAAGACGACCCGUGAUUAAGGAUGAAAUGACGAAUAUUCCAAUUCCAGCCCUAGUUAGCGGGAAGAAGCGCAACGCAAAGAGCCACGGCACGGCGCUGAAAGUUCGGCAAGUUACCAAUGAAAUGAUAAAGAUCCAAGAAACGGGGUGAUGUAUUUACGAUGCUGUUCCGUGUACAGAAAACUAUGACAAGCUGUUAAAUAGAUAUUUAGAGAACCAUGCCUUAUCUGUUAACGUACAUUUUCUGUGUUCUCCGAGGAUAGUUUAAAAACAAAUGGGUGACAAAAAAGACCAUCAUCGAAACGCUCAGCUCAAAUACCACAGAAGAUUUCAAUUGAGGCUAAGUUGCUGAAGUUAUUCGGUACUACGGUACCAGCCCAUCAAUAGCUCAGGUUCCCCCAAUGUUAAACAUUUCUGAGAUAGAGGUUGGCCUUUGUGGCAGCAAUGUCCGUAACAACCAAUGUGCGAUCUCCCGACCCGAGUUGGCACAAAACUUCAGUGGCUAAAAUCAUCGUAUAUCAAGAGUUGUUUCAAGAGUCUGUUGUCAUCCUUGGAUGUGGUCCAUUUUUUGCUAUCACUUCAAAAAAGCUACCAGCUAUCAUUGCCACUUUCUAUAUUUUAGGGUGGUAAAACAGUCCUCAAAUUUGGAAACUAGGAAAGGAAGCGGUGUUGUUGGAAAAUUGUUUGAUGCCAAGCUGAAUUAGGAACUGAAUAACGCCGAAAGAAAAUCAGUUCGGUCUAAGUUACUAUCUCAACUAUAAAUAUAAAAUUCCAAUAGGAAAAAAAUCGAAUUAAACUUAUUUAAAGAAAUUUUUAGAUUUCCUUUUGAUUAUUGAAAUGAAAACCGAGAUGAAAAUCCCAGGUUUCUUGUUUAGCGGCGUCCACUUAUGUGAUGUGUUUGGAAUUUUGGACUGCUAGAUGAAAUCGAAAAUACCUUUCUUGAAACAUAUCCGCUUCAUACAAUUUUAGAAAUUUCCAAUUUGACUAUAUUAUUGAGUUCAGAGGAAAAUUAAAAAAAAAAAUAACAUAACAAGAUAGAAGCAGCCAUAUAUUUAAAAUACGGAAUUUUAUGGAAUAUGCUUAAAAAUUGUAUCGGUGUGCCAUAUUGUAUGUUACUUUUGUAUGGAAGGAAGGGCUUAUUUAAGUCAAAGCGAUUUGAAAGUAUUGUUGAAACCAUCUCCUACUCCGAAUACUCUCAUACACCCAACUUCACGUUGAUCGGAACAGUAGUUUUCGAGUCUAUAGAGAACAAUCAGACAGACAGACAAACAUUCAUUUUUAUAUAUCUAUAAAGAUUUUUUUUUCGGAAAAUAAUUUUUUUCAGCUUUCCCGGAGACUUCAAGCUUCAAUACUUGUUACUUAUGUGUGUGACUUAAAAAAACUGAACAAAUA